rnacentral:rRNA from 1 species
GUCCCGGCGGUAACGAUGGCACUAGGUGUCGGAGGUAUCGACCCUCGGUGCCGCAGUUAACACAUUAAGUGCCCCGCCUGGGGAGUACGGCCGCAAGGUUGAAACUCAAAGGAAUUGACGGGGGCCCGCACAAGCGGUGGAGUAUGUGGUUUAAUUCGACGCAACGCGAAGAACCUUACCUGGGCUUGACAUGCAGUGGACCGGGUUGGAAACAACCCCUCGGCUUCGGCCGUCGCUGCACAGGUGCUGCAUGGCUGUCGU